CGUUUUUUUUUAAUUUGUGCGCCGAAUUUGCUGAGACUGCUUGCAUUUUUACCACUGGACAAAGACUGAUUACUUCUAUACAAUAAUAAUAAGGACAAGUGCUUGUGGCAGCUGUCUUCUCUGAACAGCAGUCUCGUGAACACCGUACUGUUUCGGCCUCAGUACACUGAAGAUCUAAGAAAACACUAAACACCCUA